rnacentral:lncRNA from 1 species
AGAAACAGCAACCCUUCUGGGUCCCCUUCCACCACGCAGAAGCUUUACUUUCGCUUUCACUUUACUUUUGCUUUCACUUUAACAAAUCUUGCAGCCGCACACUCUUUGGGUCCGCCCGUUUCUCUAAUCAAGUUGUAACACUCGCUGCUGUGGUCCACAGCUUCAUUCCUUGAAGCCCGUGAGACACGAACGCUUCCAUUGAGAAAAACCUUCCAUCAGAAGAAGACUUCUCGUCUCAGUGGGACUGCUGAGUUGAAUGGUGCUUUUUUUUCUGAAGCUUUGGUAGUGUAACUGUAAGAGUCCUGGAAUUGGAAAAGCAAAUCCAGAAGUUGAGUUCCAUGACUUUUUUGCUGUUUGCCUUUGGACUUGCAUCAUUUAUAUUUUUAAUUCAUCGAGGAUGAGAAAAUUGAUUAACACAAAAUCUUUUCAUGUCUUUUCUGAUGAGAGACUAGCUGAAUCCAAGAAGAGAAGCCCUUGAAGAGUGUAUUCUAUUCUAGACAAGCAUUCACACAUUGGCUUCUUUGGUGCCAGCAUGUUUCUGAUCAGCAUGAAAACUGCGCAGGAGCUUUUCUGUCUUGCAGAGCUAGUUAAUGAGAUUGUUGCUGCCUUCAGAUUCUAUAAAGGACUUCUCCAAUAUUGGAUUAAAGAAUGAAGAAAGGAUCAAAUUGAGACAUCCAGGGGGGAAGAGUUCCCUGGCAAAACUCCAAUCUGCCUGAGCACUGAGGUGGAGCCACAGAAGUCCGGGUCAUUUGCACCUGGGAGGAGCCUGGCCCCUCCUCUUCCUGUGUGGAAUCUGGGAUUUAAUCUGUGAGGAGGGAAGGCCAAGGGCAGGAAGCACAGGCUCUCACUUCACUAAGAGUCUCUGUUUCCCCUUUUUUUCCUUUAUGCCUAAUUAAUAAAUCCCAUUUUUCUCACUCUUCAAAUAGUCUUCAAGCCUAAAUUUUCAUGACCAUGGAACAAGGACCCCAUCUUUAGCUGAACUAAGGAAAAGUCCUGCAACAAAAUUCUUUGCUAAAAAUACAUGAGGUUGCCUUUUCCUUCUUAAUCUUAAAAGAAAUAUAUUUCAAUGGUUAACGUUUUAGUAAUUCAAAAAUUAUCAAGCAUUUGUUCACAACCAUAAGAUGUGCAUUGUUUUAUAUUCCUACUUAAUAAUAGACUAUAAUUGUCUAAUUAGACUGCCGAUGUUGAUCUUUGUGGCUCAUUGCAUUGAUUAUAAGCAGUGUUUUGGGUUUGUGUGUGUGUGUCAAAUUUAGGGUUUUUUUGGUAUGGCUGCUGGUUGGUGUAGCCUGUAUCCAGUAUCCUGUAUUAAUUCUAAUAUUUGCAUUUUGAACAUAUUUACAAGUUGCUAAAAUAGCAAAGCUUCGAGAUGAGCCUGGCUGAUAUGGCAAAACCCCGUCUCUACUAAAAAUACAAAAAUUAGCCUGGUGUGGUGGUGCAUGCCUGUAAUCCCAGCUACUUGGAAGUCUGAGGCAGGAGAAUCUCUUGAACCCAGAAGGUGGAGGUUGCAGUGGGCCAAGAUCGCACCACUGCACUCCAGCCUCGGUGAUAGAGCGAG